rnacentral:rRNA from 1 species
UUAGAUGUUCGGGGCCGCACGCGCGCUACAAUGAAGGACUCAGCGUGUGUUACCCCUGUCCGGAAGGACUGGGUAACCCGGUGAACCUCCUUCGUGAUAGGGAUAGGAGAUUGUAACUGUUCUCCUUGAACGAGGAAUUCCUAGUAAGCACGAGUCAUAAGCUCGUGUUGAUUCGGUCCCUGCCCUUUGUACACACCGCCCGUCGCUACUACCGAUUGAAUGAUUUAGUGAGGACUUCGGACUGGCUCUCGGAGCGGACCCCGGUCCGGGCCGAGCUGCCGGAAAGAUGUCCAAACUUGAUCAUUUAGAGGAAGUAAAAGUCGUAACAAGGUUUCC